rnacentral:ncRNA from 1 species
AUUUAUAAGAAUAUGAUGUUGGUUCAGAUUAAGCGCUAAAUAAGGACAUGACACAUGCGAAUCAUACGUUUAUUAUUGAUAAGAUAAUAAAUAUGUGGUGUAAACGUGAGUAAUUUUAUUAGGAAUUAAUGAACUAUAGAAUAAGCUAAAUACUUAAUAUAUUAUUAUAUAAAAAUAAUUUAUAUAAUAAAAAGGAUAUAUAUAUAAUAUAUAUUUAUCUAUAGUCAAGCCAAUAAUGGUUUAGGUAGUAGGUUUAUUAAGAGUUAAACCUAGCCAACGAUCCAUAAUCGAUAAUGAAAGUUAGAACGAUCACGUUGACUCUGAAAUAUAGUCAAUAUCUAUAAGAUACAGCAGUGAGGAAUAUUGGACAAUGAUCGAAAGAUUGAUCCAGUUACUUAUUAGGAUGAUAUAUAAAAAUAUUUUAUUUUAUUUAGUUCCGGGGCCCGGCCACGGGAGCCGGAACCCCGAAAGGAGAAAUAUUAAAUAUUUAUAAUAAUAAUAAUAAUAAUAUAUAUAUAUAAAUUGAUUAAAAAUAAAAUCCAUAAAUAAUUAAAAUAAUGAUAUUAAUUACCAUAUAUAUUUUUAUAUGGAUAUAUAUAUUAAUAAUAAUAUUAAUUUUAUUAUUAUUAAUAAUAUAUUUUAAUAGUCCUGACUAAUAUUUGUGCCAGCAGUCGCGGUAACACAAAGAGGGCGAGCGUUAAUCAUAAUGGUUUAAAGGAUCCGUAGAAUGAAUUAUAUAUUAUAAUUUAGAGUUAAUAAAAUAUAAUUAAAGAAUUAUAAUAGUAAAGAUGAAAUAAUAAUAAUAAUUAUAAGACUAAUAUAUGUGAAAAUAUUAAUUAAAUAUUAACUGACAUUGAGGGAUUAAAACUAAGAGUAGCGAAACGGAUUCGAUACCCGUGUAGUUCUAGUAGUAAACUAUGAAUACAAUUAUUUAUAAUAUAUAUUAUAUAUAAAUAAUAAAUGAAAAUGAAAGUAUUCCACCUGAAGAGUACGUUAGCAAUAAUGAAACUCAAAACAAUAGACGGUUACAGACUUAAGCAGUGGAGCAUGUUAUUUAAUUCGAUAAUCCACGACUAACCUUACCAUAUUUUGAAUAUUAUAAUAAUUAUUAUAAUUAUUAUAUUACAGGCGUUACAUUGUUGUCUUUAGUUCGUGCUGCAAAGUUUUAGAUUAAGUUCAUAAACGAACAAAACUCCAUAUAUAUAAUUUUAAUUAUAUAUAAUUUUAUAUUAUUUAUUAAUAUAAAGAAAGGAAUUAAGACAAAUCAUAAUGAUCCUUAUAAUAUGGGUAAUAGACGUGCUAUAAUAAAAUGAUAAUAAAAUUAUAUAAAAUAUAUUUAAUUAUAUUUAAUUAAUAAUAUAAAACAUUUUAAUUUUUAAUAUAUUUUUUUAUUAUAUAUUAAUAUGAAUUAUAAUCUGAAAUUCGAUUAUAUGAAAAAAGAAUUGCUAGUAAUACGUAAAUUAGUAUGUUACGGUGAAUAUUCUAACUGUUUCGCACUAAUCACUCAUCACGCGUUGAAACAUAUUAUUAUCUUAUUAUUUAUAUAAUAUUUUUUAAUAAAUAUUAAUAAUUAUUAAUUUAUAUUUAUUUAUAUCAGAAAUAAUAUGAAUUAAUGCGAAGUUGAAAUACAGUUACCGUAGGGGAACCUGCGGUGGGCUUAUAAAUAUC